CUAGCUACAGGCUUAACACAUGCAAGUCGAGGGGCAGCAUGGUCUUAGCUUGCUAAGGCCGAUGGCGACCGGCGCACGGGUGAGUAACACGUAUCCAACCUGCCGUCUACUCUUGGACAGCCUUCUGAAAGGAAGAUUAAUACAAGAUGGCAUCAUGAGUCCACAUGUUCACAUGAUUAAAGGUAUUCCGGUAGACGAUGGGGAUGCGUUCCAUUAGAUAGUAGGCGGGGUAACGGCCCACCUAGUCUUCGAUGGAUAGGGGUUCUGAGAGGAAGGUCCCCCACAUUGGAACUGAGACACGGUCCAAACUCCUACGGGAGGCAGCAGUGAGGAAUAUUGGUCAAUGGGCGAGAGCCUGAACCAGCCAAGUAGCGUGAAGGAUGACUGCCCUAUGGGUUGUAAACUUCUUUUAUAAAGGAAUAAAGUCGGGUAUGGAUACCCGUUUGCAUGUACUUUAUGAAUAAGGAUCGGCUAACUCCGUGCCAGCAGCCGCGGUAAUACGGAGGAUCCGAGCGUUAUCCGGAUUUAUUGGGUUUAAAGGGAGCGUAGAUGGAUGUUUAAGUCAGUUGUGAAAGUUUGCGGCUCAACCGUAAAAUUGCAGUUGAUACUGGAUAUCUUGAGUGCAGUUGAGGCAGGCGGAAUUCGUGGUGUAGCGGUGAAAUGCUUAGAUAUCACGAAGAACUCCGAUUGCGAAGGCAGCCUGCUAAGCUGCAACUGACAUUGAGGCUCGAAAGUGUGGGUAUCAAACAGGAUUAGAUACCCUGGUAGUCCACACGGUAAACGAUGAAUACUCGCUGUUUGCGAUAUACAGCAAGCGGCCAAGCGAAAGCGUUAAGUAUUCCACCUGGGGAGUACGCCGGCAACGGUGAAACUCAAAGGAAUUGACGGGGGCCCGCACAAGCGGAGGAACAUGUGGUUUAAUUCGAUGAUACGCGAGGAACCUUACCCGGGCUUAAAUUGCAGAUGAAUUACGGUGAAAGCCGUAAGCCGCAAGGCAUCUGUGAAGGUGCUGCAUGGUUGUCGUCAGCUCGUGCCGUGAGGUGUCGGCUUAAGUGCCAUAACGAGCGCAACCCUUGUUGUCAGUUACUAACAGGUUCCGCUGAGGACUCUGACAAGACUGCCAUCGUAAGAUGUGAGGAAGGUGGGGAUGACGUCAAAUCAGCACGGCCCUUACGUCCGGGGCUACACACGUGUUACAAUGGGGGGUACAGAGGGCCGCUACCACGCGAGUGGAUGCCAAUCCCAAAAACCUCUCUCAGUUCGGACUGGAGUCUGCAACCCGACUCCACGAAGCUGGAUUCGCUAGUAAUCGCGCAUCAGCCACGGCGCGGUGAAUACGUUCCCGGGCCUUGUACACACCGCCCGUCAAGCCAUGGGAGCCGGGGGUACCUGAAGUGCGUAACCGCGAGGAGCGCCCUAGGGUAAAACUGGUGAAAGG
rnacentral:rRNA from 1 species